GAAUGAGAAACUAAAGAAUCAGCGCCGCAGCGGUGAUGCGAGUUUGUUUGGUACUAAAUUAAGGACAAUACAUAACCUCACAGUUUAAAUCAAAAUAUCAAACUAUAAAAAAACUAUAUUUUUGUGAUAUCAAAUAUAAAAAUCAAUGAUUAUCUGAAUAUUCUGAAUUUUCCGAUGUAGAUUAAAAAACAACACUCCAGGUCAAUCACGUAAAAAGUAUAAAAUAGGAAGAAUACUAGAAAGUUGUUUUUCAAGCUGCAGACUUGGUCAAUUACGCUUGUGCUAUGUCACAUCUUUAAAAGAGCAUAAAAAGUUAAGAGAACUGCAUUUAACAAUAACAAACUACACAAUCCGUACCAUUUACAGUGAGCACAAUCACUUUUAUGAGGUGAUUUUCCUCAAAGACUUGCAUUUUGUUGAUGGCUACAACAAAAAAUAGGAAAAAAUCCUCAGUUCAUAGUAAGAAUACUAUUGAAUACAAAUGAAGCAAAUUUCUCAAAAAAUGCAAUUAUGGAUUUUUACAUAAUCACAUAUGGGCAUAUGAAAAUCUGCAUGGAAUUAUUGAAAGUCGGCACAAGGAACAAUUUUUUCUGUAUGGGUGGGAAUUGUUGGAAAUCACUUGAUUGGUUCAUUUUUUUUUGCCAGAACUAUUAACUGGAGAUAUUUAUCAGCAUUUUCUCGAAGAGAAACUGCCUGCAUUAUUAGAAGUUCCCCAUGAGCUAAGAUAUGAAAUGUAUUUAAUGCACAAUGGUGCUGCAGCACCCUUUAGCUUAAUUGCGUGAGAUUACUUUGAUAGAGAAUAUCCCAAUCCCUGGAUAGGUCCCGGAGGUCCACAACCAUGGCCUCCGCAAUUUCCUGAUUUAAACUCAUUAGACUUUUCCUCUGGGGUGACCUAAAACAAUUAGUUUAUACGUAUUACUCUGAUUCAAAAUAUUGAAGAGUUAAGAAAGAAAUAUGAUAGUGGGAAGUUGCACAACACUUCGAAACAAAGCAGGCAUUUUUGAAUGAGUGCAGCAAUCAAUGGUUCAUAGGGUACACUUGCAACAACUUUUAUAACCUCUACUCCUUGUGUUUGUGUUUUACAUCACCCUUUGUAAAAACCUCUGAUUUUAUAAGAAUUAAAUUGAAUAAAUAAAA